rnacentral:rRNA from 1 species
AGCGAACGCUGGCGGCAGGCCUAACACACGCAAGUCGAACGAACCCUUCGGGGUUAGUGGCGGACGGGUGAGUAACACGUGGGAACGUGCCUUUAGGUUCGGAAUAACUCAGGGAAACUUGUGCUAAUACCGAAUGUGCCCUUCGGGGGAAAGAUUUAUCGCCUUUAGAGCGGCCCGCGUCUGAUUAGCUAGUUGGUGAGGUAAUGGCUCACCAAGGCUACGUUCAGUAGCUGGGCUGAGAGGAUGACCAGCCACAUUGGGUCUGAGACACGGCCCAAACUCCUACGGGAGGCAGCAGUGGGGAAUUUUGCGCAAUGGGCGAAAGCCUGACGCAGCCAUGCCGCGUGGAUGAUGAAGGUCUUAGGAUUGUAAAAUCCUUUCACCGGUGAAGAUAAUGACUGUAGCCGGAGAAGAAGCCCCGGCUAACUUCGUGCCAGCCGCCGCCGUAAUAC